rnacentral:lncRNA from 1 species
UAGAUACCUGGUUCACCAAGAAGCAUUGACAAGUUAAAGCAGGAAGAAUCAACUGUGUCCAGGUCUAAGCAUCCAAGAUCAGAAAUGAAGCUGAACAGCAAAUGAAAUAAUCAAGUAACACUGUAUUCUCUCUGGAGAAAUCUGAUCUUGGCUCACCAAAAUCCAGUCAUAGACUCACUACCAAGCUAAACUGGAAUCCAUUGCCUAAUUUCAGUAGUCAACAUUGAAAAGAGGAUUUUCUCAGAAACUUCAUUUAAGAU